rnacentral:rRNA from 1 species
CGGCCGCGGUAUUCUAACCGUGCAAAGGUAGCGUAAUCACUUGUCUCCUAAAUAGAGACCAGUAUGAAUGGCUAAAUGAAGACAAGCCUGUCUCUUACAACCUAUCAAUGAAACUGAUCUUCAAGUCCAAAAGCUAGAAUAUAUACAUAAGACGAGAAGACCCUGUGGAGCUUAAAAUUCACUACUAACCAAAUUAAAUUAACCAAUAAAACUAGUACAAAUUUUGAGUUGGGGCGACUUCGGAACAAAACAAAACUUCCAAGCACAGAACCACCACUUCUAACUAAGGCCAACAGGCCAAAGCAAAAACUGACCCAGUAAUACUGAUCAACGAACCAAGUUACCCCAGGGAUAACAGCGCUAUCUUCUUCAA